rnacentral:rRNA from 1 species
AAUACGGAGGGUGCAAGCGUUGUUCGGAAUCAUUGGGCGUAAAGCGCGUGUAGGCGGCUUGGCAAGUCGGUUGUGAAAGCCCGGGGCCCAACCCCGGAAUUGCAUCUGAAACUGCCUCGCUAGAGUCCCGGAGAGGAAGGCAGAAUUCCCGGUGUAGGGGUGAAAUCCGUAGAUAUCGGGAGGAAUACCAGCGGCGAAGGCGGCCUUCUGGACGGUGACUGACGCUGAGACGCGAAAGCGUGGGGAGCAAACAG